GAAUAGCUGUACCAUUGCAUAGCAACAGCAGCGAAGAGCUGCACUGAGGACAGACCCACGUAAUAGAGCAAUUUGCACAGAUGUGUCUGCCUAUGGACAUGGAGUAGGUGCACGCCUGACUGUGUGUCUGCCUAUGGACAUGGAGUAGGUGCACGCCUGACUGUGUGUCUGCCUAUGGACAUGGAGUAGGUGCACGCCUGACUGUUUGUGUGUCUGCCUAUGGACAUGGAGUAGGUGCACGCCUGACUGUUUGUGUGUCUGGAUCCUCUACUCCUCACAUUCACUACAGGGGCACCAAACCAUCAGGUAACACAACGUGGCACCAGUUACACACACGAGCACCGAGGAGCCGAGUGCUGUGUUCCUGUAGAUCCUUACUUCACUGCUCCUGCCUAAAGAGGAGAGACCAGCCGUACUUAGCAGGGUGUCGUGUUCAAACCCUGGCUUGUGUCCUUUUUCCGCUCUUACUGUCGGUGUCUCCGGGGAGCAUUCGGGGGGGUUGCUGAGCCUUAUAAAGCCCUGUGCUGCCCAUGAGCUCCCGAUUCCCGGGGUUAAAGCGGCGGAUGUGGUUUGGUGGUUUCCUGCAUCAGGCAGUUUUUGUACUCUGGGUCACUGUCUAAAUCUACAACUACAGCCCCUUCCUGAUGCUGUUGGUCACAGUUCUACUCCAACACUUGAUGCUACUUACUUUUUGGAUUAUCGAAUGUUCAAAACUCGUGCUUUUUGACACAGACAGUAGUAAUAAUGUAGCACAGCAGGAGCUAAAUGACGUCAAAGGGGUAAAGCAGGCCUAAGAGAAUCCCACCCUGCCCCCCUC